rnacentral:rRNA from 1 species
AUCGAACGCUGGCGGCAGGCCUAACACAUGCAAGUCGAACGAGUGGCGGACGGUUGAGUACUGUCUGGGAACCUGUCUGAUGGAGGGGGAUAACUACUGGAAACGGUAGAUAAUACCGCAUACCAUCAGAUGUGCCCCGAUGGGAUUGGCUAGUUGGUGGGGUAACGGCGCACGAAGGCGACGAUCCCUAGCGGGUCUGAGAGGCUGAUCAGCCACACUGGAACUGAGACACGGCCCAGACUCCGGCGGGAGGCAGCAGUGGGGAAUAUUACGCAAUGGAGGCAAGCCUGAUGCAGCCAUGCGGCGUGUAUGAAGAAGGCCUUCGGGUUGGAAAGUACUUUCGGCAGGGAGGCGGUACCCGAAGAGGAAGCACCGGCUAACUCCGUGCCAGCAGCCGCGGUAAUAC